AGGUAGUGACGAAAAAUAACGAUACGGGACUCAUCCGAGGCCCCGUAAUCGGAAUGAGUACACUUUAAAUCCUUUAACGAGGAGCAAUUGGAGGGCAAGUCUGGUGCCAGCAGCCGCGGUAAUUCCAGCUCCAAUAGCGUAUAUUAAAGUUGUUGCGGUUAAAAAGCUCGUAGUUGAAUCUGUGUGUCACGCUGUCGGUUCACCGCUCGUCGGUGUUUAACUGAUACGCUCGUGACACGUCCUACCGGUGGGCCUGUGUCUUUGGGCCGCUUGUCGGUGCUUAGCGCGGGUCCUACUUUAAUCCCAUCGCGGUGCUCUUUACCGAGUGUCGAGGUGGGCCGGUACGUUUACUUUGAACAAAUUAGAGUGCUUAAAGCAGGCAAUUAUCGUCUGAAUACUGUGUGCAUGGAAUAAUGGAAUAGGACCUCGGUUCUAUUUUGUUGGUUUUCGGAACUCCGAGGUAAUGAUUAAUAGGGACAGAUGGGGGCAUUCGUAUUGCGACGUUAGAGGUGAAAUUCUUGGAUCGUCGCAAGACGAACAGAAGCGAAAGCAUUUGCCAAAAAUGUUUUCAUUAAUCAAGAACGAAAGUUAGAGGUUCGAAGGCGAUCAGAUACCGCCCUAGUUCUAACCAUAAACGAUGCCAGCCAGCGAUCCGCCGAAAUUCCUCCGAUGACUCGGCGGGCAGCU
rnacentral:rRNA from 1 species